rnacentral:rRNA from 1 species
UACGAAGGGACCUAGCGUAGUUCGGAAUUACUGGGCUUAAAGAGCUCGUAGGUGGUUAAAAAAGUUGAUGGUGAAAUCCCAAGGCUCAACCUUGGAACUGCCAUCAAAACUUUUUAGCUAGAGUAUGAUAGAGGAAAGUGGAAUUUCUAGUGUAGAGGUGAAAUUCGUAGAUAUUAGAAAGAACACCAAAUGCGAAGGCAACUUUCUGGAUCAUUACUGACACUGAGGAGCGAAAGCAUGGGUAGCGAAGAGG